rnacentral:rRNA from 1 species
UACGUAGGCAGCAAGCGUUGUUCGGAGUUACUGGGCGUAAAGCGUGCGCAGGCGGUUUUGUAAGCCAGAUGUGAAAUCCCCGGGCUCAACCUGGGAACUGCAUUUGGGACUGCAAGGCUUGAGUACGGCAGAGGGGGGUAGAAUUCCUGGUGUAGCAGUGAAAUGCGUAGAUAUCAGGAGGAAUACCGAUGGCGAAGGCGGCUUUCUGGUCUGUAACUGACGCUGAGGCGCGAAAGCGUGGGGAGCAAACAGG